AACGGGUGAGUAACACGUGGGCAAUCUGCCCUGCACUCUGGGACAAGCCCUGGAAACGGGGUCUAAUACCGGAUAUGACCGUCUUGGGCAUCCUUGAUGGUGUAAAGCUCCGGCGGUGCAGGAUGAGCCCGCGGCCUAUCAGCUUGUUGGUGAGGUAAUGGCUCACCAAGGCGACGACGGGUAGCCGGCCUGAGAGGGCGACCGGCCACACUGGGACUGAGACACGGCCCAGACUCCUACGGGAGGCAGCAGUGGGGAAUAUUGCACAAUGGGCGAAAGCCUGAUGCAGCGACGCCGCGUGAGGGAUGACGGCCUUCGGGUUGUAAACCUCUUUCAGCAGGGAAGAAGCGAAAGUGACGGUACCUGCAGAAGAAGCGCCGGCUAACUACGUGCCAGCAGCCGCGGUAAUACGUAGGGCGCAAGCGUUGUCCGGAAUUAUUGGGCGUAAAGAGCUCGUAGGCGGCUUGUCACGUCGGGUGUGAAAGCCCGGGGCUUAACCCCGGGUCUGCAUUCGAUACGGGCUAGCUAGAGUGUGGUAGGGGAGAUCGGAAUUCCUGGUGUAGCGGUGAAAUGCGCAGAUAU
rnacentral:rRNA from 1 species